ensembl:lncRNA
CUUAUUUAAAAAAAAAAAAAAAAAGAAAGCAGGUCGCCGCACAUGUUAAGGUAGGUUGAGCAGCUUCGCAUCACACGCCAGUACUUUAACACAAACACCAUGGUUUCUGCCUUCUCUUCUGUCCCAAUGGGGUCGCGGUCACUGCCGGAACGAUUAACGUAUGAAUUCAGGUUAACGACCGGGACCGGCAGGCUGGUAGGGCAGGGUCCCUUCCAAUGGCCCCUCAGAGAGAUCUGCAGCGCAGGAGAGGUGGGAGCUCACAGCAGCUGCUGCAUCUUGUUAGAGGAUCUGUUGGCAUUUUGCUGGGCUGGGCCCAGGCAACAACGCUGGGCAGCAUCAAAAAUGUUCUAAUGCUGUAUUCAGGCCCUGCUAACAUUUACAGUAGUAGGCACGUGAGAUGUUCUUCAGCUUGGAGUGAAUGAAGCGUGUGAAUGCGUCUGCAGCCCGUGGGACCACAGCGGAAGAUGCAGACCAGGGCUUGUCUCAGAGGGUAUGGACUACAAGAAGAUCCCCCAGAAGACACAGAAUGGGAAGCAGCACCCACCACCACCCUUGGGAGCUCCGGUCACCCCGAGCUGGGAGGACAAGGCUAUUGGCAACUUCCAUCUUAUGUGAAAAUAAAGGGCCCAGAGCUUUGAGCCCUCAUGCUUUGCUCCAGAAGUCCACGGAUACCAUGUCACAGAGGACAAGGGCAUCUGGGUAAGCUGGAAGCGGCACGACCUCUCCCUCUCUUUGUCGCAAUUCGGGAAGGAAACGUUUCUGCACAAACGUGAAGAAAUACAGCAGACUUGCCUUAUUUCGGACCACAGGAGGGCGACGUUCAGCUGCAGCUGAAACAAACAGGACUUCCCAAAACAGGUUGCCCAAGGAGAUAGCGGAUGCCCCAGUCCUGGAGGUGUUCAAGGCCAGGAUGGAAGGGGGAGCCUGGUCAUCGGUCACCUUGCACGCAGCUUGAACUUAGAUGAUGAUACCCAGGCCAUUCUACGAUUCUAUCACGGAUUCUAUAUAAAGUAGGUAAGAAAAACAGCAUAGAAGAUGCUGUCUGUUAGCAAUUUGCACAGAAGGAUGCUGAUAGCAUAGCAAUGUUGUUAGUAAAAAAAAAAUAAAAAUCGAGAGGGAUAAAUCAGACAAAGGCUUUUACUAAAAGCUGUGUAUCAUACGGGAUAGAUAAAUGAAGAGUGCAGGUAUUGUGCCUGGGCUGCACGGAUCCUAGUAAAUAACAUCGUUAAGAGAUCUUAGGUCAGUUGUUGUGCAGUAUCACGGAGGGAAAAUAACAAUGACUAAGACUGAAAUAGGAGAAAAGACCUGUAAUGCAAUUAAAUUUUCUUAUGAGCAAAUGCCAGUAGUUGGACACACCUUUACUCAAAAAUUAAAAAGGGGAAAAUGUACAUCAAUGAACAGAUGAAUAAAAUUUAUUUCUCUAACAGUGAAUAUGGUUGAAGUAAUAAAAAAAUAUUCAGUGUGUUGAAGAAGAAGAAGAAGAAGAAGAAGAAGAAGAAGAAGAAGAUGAAGAAGAAGAAGAAGAAGAAGAAGAAGAAGAAGAAGAUGAUGAAGAAGAAGAAGAAGAAGAAGAAGAAGAAGAUGAUGAAGAAGAAGAAGAAGAAGAUGAAGAUGAAGAUGAAGAAGAAGAUGAAGAUGAAGAUGAAGAUGAAGAUGAAGAUGAAGAUGAAGAAGAAGAUGAAGAAGAAGAUGAAGAUGAAGAAGAAGAUGAAGAUGAAGAUGAAGAUGAAGAUGAAGAUGAAGAUGAAGAUGAAGAAUGAAGAUGAAGAUGAAGAUGAAGAUGAAGAAGAAGAUGAAGAAGAAGAUGAAGAAGAAGAUGAAGAUGAAGAUGAAGAAGAAGAUGAAGAUGAAGAUGAAGAUGAAGAUGAAGAUGAAGAAGAAGAAGAAGAAGAAGAUGAAGAAGAAGAAGAAGAAGAAGAAGAAGAAGAUGAAGAUGAAGAUGAAGAUGAAGAUGAAGAAGAAGAUGAAGAUGAAGAAGAAGAUGAAGAUGAAGAUGAAGAUGAAGAUGAAGAUGAAGAUGAAGAUGAAGAUGAAGAUGAAGA